UGAUGGGAGCUUGCUCCCUGAUAUCAGCGGCGGACGGGUGAGUAACACGUGGGCAACCUGCCUAUAAGACUGGGAUAACUUCGGGAAACCGGAGCUAAUACCGGAUAAUCCCUUUCCUCUCAUGAGGAAAGGCUGAAAGAUGGUUUACGCUAUCACUUAUAGAUGGGCCCGCGGCGCAUUAGCUAGUUGGUGAGGUAACGGCUCACCAAGGCAACGAUGCGUAGCCGACCUGAGAGGGUGAUCGGCCACACUGGGACUGAGACACGGCCCAGACUCCUACGGGAGGCAGCAGUAGGGAAUCUUCCGCAAUGGACGAAAGUCUGACGGAGCAACGCCGCGUGAGUGAUGAAGGUUUUCGGA
rnacentral:rRNA from 1 species